rnacentral:rRNA from 1 species
CCUACGGGUGGCAGCAGUGGGGAAUAUUGGACAAUGGGGGGAACCCUGAUCCAGCCAUGCCGCGUGUGUGAAGAAGGCCCUCGGGUUGUAAAGCACUUUCAGUGAGGAAGAACGCCUGGUGGUUAAUACCCAUCAGGAAAGACAUCACUCACAGAAGAAGCACCGGCUAACUCCGUGCCAGCAGCCGCGGUAAUACGGAGGGUGCGAGCGUUAAUCGGAAUUACUGGGCGUAAAGCGCGCGUAGGUGGCUUGAUAAGCCGGUUGUGAAAGCCCCGGGCUCAACCUGGGAACGGCAUCCGGAACUGUCAAGCUAGAGUGCAGGAGAGGAAGGUAGAAUUUCCGGUGUAGCGGUGAAAUGCGUAGAGAUCGGGAGGAAUACCAGUGGCGAAGGCGGCCUUCUGGACUGACACUGACACUGAGGUGCGAAAGCGUGGGUAGCAAACAGGAUUAGAUACCCCAGUAGUC